UCCAGACUCCUACGGGAGGCAGCAGUGGGGAAUAUUGGGCAAUGGGCGCAAGCCUGACCCAGCAACGCCGCGUGAAGGAAGAAGGCUUUCGGGUUGUAAACUUCUUUUGACAGGGAAGAGCAGAAGACGGUACCUGUCGAAUAAGCCACGGCUAACUACGUGCCAGCAGCCGCGGUAAUACGUAGGUGGCAAGCGUUAUCCGGAUUUACUGGGUGUAAAGGGCGUGUAGGCGGGAAAGCAAGUCAGAUGUGAAAACCAUGGGCUCAACCUGUGGCCUGCAUUUGAAACUGUUUUUCUUGAGUACUGGAGAGGCAGACGGAAUUCCUAGUGUAGCGGUGAAAUGCGUAGAUAUCAGGAGGAACACCGGCGGCGAAGGCGGCCUGCUGGACCGCGACUGACGUUGAGGCUCGAAAGCGUGGGGAGCGAACAGGAUUAGAUACCCGGGUAA
rnacentral:rRNA from 1 species